rnacentral:rRNA from 1 species
UGAGGAAUAUUGCACAAUGGGGGCAACCCUGAUGCAGCAACGCCGCGUGAGUGAUGAAGCAGUUUAUCUGUGUAAAGCUCUGUUGAUAGGGACGAAAUAUUGGGUUUGUAGCCUGAUUUGACGGUACCUGUUGAGGAAGCUCCGGCUAACUCCGUGCCAGCAGCCGCGGUAAUACGGGGGGAGCAAGCGUUGUCCGGAUUUAUUGGGCGUAAAGGGCAUGUAGGUGGUCUUUUAAGUCAGUUGUUAAAACUAUCGGCUUAACCGGUAAUUGCAAUUGAUACUGGAGGACUUGAAUUUGAGAGGGGAUAGUGGAAUAUCAAGUGUAGCGGUGGAAUGCGUAGAUAUUUGAUAGAACACCUGAGGUGCAGACGACUAUCUGGCUCAUGAUUGACACUGAGAU